rnacentral:lncRNA from 1 species
AAAAUAUAUAACAAACACUAAACUUCAACUUUUAGCUAGCUAUAGCCUUCCCUAGUUCGUCCUGAAAUUCCUGAAAAUGGGGAUUGAUCAGGAUGAAAUCUCCACGGAAACCACGACUCUCGGGGAAUUAUUAGUGGCGGAAAACAUCGGAUCCCGACACAGAAAAGUUGUCAAGGCGCUCUACAAGGCCUUGGCACUGAAAGACACUAGUACCACCUCAAAGCUCGUGGCUCCGGAUCUUGAGUGGUGGUUCCAUGGACCGCGGCAUUGCCAGCACAUGAUGAGGAUGCUGACCGGAGAAUCGAGACACGUGGAGUUCAAGUUCAGGCCUCGGAGCAUCACGCCCGUUGGUGACCGAGUGGUGGCGGAGGGAUGGGAAGGAUCGAAGGCGUACUGGGCGCAUGUGUGGAGCGUCAAGGAAGGGAUGAUCACUCAGUUGCGUGAGUAUUUCAACACGUGGGUGACGGUGAUUGUUGGGAAUUCAGAAGUUGAGGAUGAGAUGAUGAAGCUGUGGCAGAGUGAUCCUAGGGAGCGGUCUCAACGCUCAUUGCCAGAUAUUGUACUAGCGAUAUGAUCAUAUAUAAUAAUCGUUUUAGGAAAUUUGAGAUUUUCUCUUUGAACUCAAAUUUCUCUUACCUUUAGCUAUGAUACUUUUUUAGUUAAAAGCGCGAGGACUAGAAUCCAACUAAGUAAAUUUCCUAAUCAAACUUGAUGUUAAUUUAGGAUUUGUAUUAUU